CCAACAACCACAGGCAGGUCUUGUACUUGCUCUGUUGCAGUACCUCUGAAUGUAAUCUCCAUGAAAGCAAGGACUAUGUCGAUUGUGUUUUUCUCUGAAACCGCAGGGCUGGGAAAAGAAAGUGAGUCAGUGAGAAUGAGAGCCUCUCCACCCUGUUUUCUGCAUCAUCUGGCUCUCAGCGUCAGCACGCACAGCGUCUCCAGAGUUGGAGCAUUAUGUCACAUGCUGGAUAGGUAAAGAAACAGAGGCUCUUAGACAUUAAAUCACACAUCCAGAGCCACACAGAAUGCAUCCCAGCAGAGUUAGGAAUUUCUGCCCAGAUCGGGAUGAUCUCAAAGCCCUGGGUUUUUCCACCUGACCUGCUCGGCUGCCAGUUAUUGAAUUGAGCGAGAACCAUCAGACAUCCUUGGGGCAGAGGGUGCUCUUCACCUGAUUCAAACAGCGAGAGCAGCUCCAUUUCCAAGAUGCCAUCCCUUCAGUUGGUCUGAAUGUCUCUGGGCUCCUGGAAUUCUCCUUCUGGAGACACAAACUCAAAUGGCCAACACCAAGGACUUCAGCUUCCUGGCCCCCAGACUGCUCGCACUCCCGUCUUCCCUGGCUCACAGUGUGGGGCCAGGACACAAAGCUAAGCAUCAUCAGAGACCCCUUCUUCCUCACUCCUCAUGUCUACUCCACUGUGAGGUCUGGGUCCCUGCCCACUCCCUACCUUGGUGCCCAGGUGACUGCAGCAGCCUCCUCCAUGGUCUCCCUGCAUCCGUUCUCUGUGGACUGCCCGAGUGAGCUUUCCGGAGCACAGAUUCAACCUCAACCACUCCUCCUUGCCUGUAGGAUAAAGUCUGAAUGCCUCAGCCUAGAGUCCAGGAUCUUCACACACUGACGCCUGCCCCUUGCACAGCCACGUGGUCUACGGGACCCUCCUCUCUUGCCAUCCCCGCACAGCGAAUGUUCUUACAACUUCCUGCCACUGGUACGAGACACGAGAUGAGCUGAGAGCCACUGGACGCGAGAGAAGAGAGCCACGGGCUGUGACAAUGAGCUGUCCCUUUCUGGCACAGCGACCCUGCCCACUAGUAAAAACAGUCUGUUCGGCGUCCUAGGAUCUUGCUAGUUAGUUCCUUCCUUCCUUUUGGGAGAACGAGAAGGGGCUAGAACAUGGACAGGUCCCUACCCCUCACGGACACUGUGGGAGGGCGCUCAGAAAUAUAAAAUUGUCUCUGUGUGGCCUCCACUUACCUGCCUGUCUUGAUAAAUGACUCCUUUCCUCGUUCCCUGCGGCCAGUAGCCGGCAGAAGACAAAGGCCGGCAGGUUACUCCCCGGUCGAGGUGACACAGUGUUUACGCCCUGUCACCUGUGGUGCGGGGAACAGUCAUCAGUUAUGUUUGUUACCUUGCAGGAUCUCAUUUGUAUGGGGUAUUUCCAAAGCACUCAGCUGAGCUUUCAGCAGAACAACCACCUGCUCUUUUUUAUGCUCAUGUUUCAUCAGUUCUCAUCAUAUUUAACUAAAUAACGUAAUUAUAAUAAUGAGUUCAAUACAAGUGAAAUGCAGGAAAGAAAGUUCUAUUUCUAUGCGAACUGAGUUGAAUACUUUGAAGACACACCAUAAAGGUCAGUGUUAAAAAAAAUUCUGUCCAAUUAUGUGUGGAUGAAAGACCUCUAAAGUAUUAGGAAAAUGAGCAUAAAAAUCCAGAAGGAUUCUGCACUCGGGCUGCGUUUUCUUGCUCUACUUUGAAGAAGCCUGAAGUGUAAAUGUUAGACGUCUUAGGGCUAUGGUUUAUGGAAAAAAGAGAAUGCAGAAUUCCAUCAACAGACCCAUUCUUAAAGGCCUUGGAGGCUUCUGUCUAAAUAUUGCUCAGAUGCAUGCACAUUAAUGUGCUUUAUGUUAGAGUACGAUGUUUAGACAAUGCUAUGUUCUGAAUAUCUCUGUCCCCACCAGAUUCAUAUGUUGAAAUCCUCAUGCCCAAGGUGAUGGUGUUAGAAGAUGGGGUCUUUGGGGUAAUGUUAGGUCAUGGAUGUGGAACCCUCAUGAAUGGGAUUUGUGUUCUCAUAAAAGAGAUCCCAGAGAGCUCCUUUGCCCCCUUCCACCGAGUGAGGACACAGCGAGAAAGGGCUGGCUAUGAAUCAGGGAGUGGGCCCUC